UCUAAGUACAUGUUUUGUCAACAAUACUGAGAUUUUCUAAAGAUUCCUUGAAAUUAUUCUGAAUUUCGUAAGAAUAUCGAAAAAACCACUUUGAUCACAAGCAAGAAAGAUUGUUUACAUUGUUUAUUGUAAAAUUAGUGAAGAAGCAGUUGGAGAUCAACCGCAAUCUUCGAUUUUAAAGCGCGUCCAAAGUUGACCGGAGUUCCUAGCACUACCAUACGACGAAUGAUUGCUGAAGGUAGACCGAAUGGAAGUGUAUUUAGUGCACCCGGUAAAAAGAAGAGAGGUGGAAAGAAAACAAAUAACCUGGACAGUUUUGAUUUGGAAAUAGCAUAAUAAUAUAAAGUGAUCUUUUCAUAAA
rnacentral:lncRNA from 1 species